AAACCAGUAAAAGAACCAACAACAUUAGCUGCUGAAAGCACAUCAGAGGGAAAAACUGGAACUGAAAUUGGAGUUGGUGACACUGAACCAGAAACACCCACGGAAGAGAUUAGAGAAGUGGAUGGCACUGUAUCUCUUGACAGCAAAGUGGAAAACAUAGAGGUCACAGCAAUAGAAAAAGAGGAAUAUAUAGGGCAAGAUGUGUCAAACGAUACAAGUGAUGCUGAUGACAGCUUUGAUGAUAUGCUUACAGAGGAAGUGGAAGACAAGCAAUGGCUUCUGAAAGUAAAAUUGUUAAUGACCAGCAAACACACAGAGAGACUAGAGGCCAAAGUGAGAAACAUAAAAUUAUAUGGCUCUUCAUUUCAUUGCCUGAAACCGAGAAGCUGGAUAAGUGAUGAGGUUAUUGAUGCAUUUUUGAGCUGUGUAGUUGAGAAAGCAGAUGGAAAGGUAGGCUAGUUACUGUGAUACAUGACACAAUACACUGAUGCACUAAGUAAACAAUCAUGGGAAUAUGUGACACAACAUAUUUAAGUCCAAAUGCCCUUGAAAUAUCAACACACACCUGAAAUUUCAACAUUUCUGUGUAUAUACUGCUGCCAAGCAUUUACUAAAAUGUAUUUGGAGGUGCAUAUCGGAUAUACAAUAGAGGGCCACAUUAGUUCUGCUGUACAGUUCAGUGGAUCCAUUAAUUGAACACAAG